AAAUUUGAGAUGAACUCUCUUUUUGUCCAAAAAAAUUUGGGACUUAUCCCUAAUAUCCCCAGCUAUCCGAUAACUAAUUCACUCUCCCCUUACAGCUUCCUCAAUCUCGUAUUCUUCUUCUCUUCGAUCUCCCCUCCCUAGGGCGGCGACGGUGAAGGAGACGGCAGCGAAGGCAACGAAGCGUCUCAUUUUCCUGUGAGCUUACAUUUUCCUGUGAGCUUAGUGUGUUUGGAGAUACUCUUUUUUCGUCACCUGUUUAAGGAAAAGAUGAUUUGAUGAGGAAGAUAGUUUGUGGAAAAAGAAGAUGAGUUGAUGUAUGGUUUGUUUAUUUUGAAAAACUUAUAUAACUUUUAGGAGGUGUUGUACUUGUAUUACUUUUUUUGGAGUAUUGGACUUGUAUAAGUUCUUGGAGUAAGAAGAAAGUUCUUGUAGAACUUUUUGAGAACUUUGGAAUUGUAUUAUUGUAAAAUUGAUUUCAAAUAUUAAUAGAUGUGUAUAUAUGUUAAAUAGGAUGUGAUAAUGUUAAUCAGGAUGUCUUGAAUAUU